GCGUUACAUCCCCGCCUUCUGGAAAGCUGCGGAGGACUGAACAGGAAGGGCCGCGCCCCGGCCCGGCUCUUUGGCGCGAGGACACUGUCCUGCUGGCCCCGACCGGCGUCGUGUGCCGUCCAGAGCCACUGCGGAGUCGCCGUCGUGUGCCUGCCUCCUCUCUGCUGAUUCCACCCUGGGCCACCAGCGUGUGGCGGCGGGAGGUGUGCUGUGCCGCCCCGCAGCGUCCGCCGUCUGUGGUGGGCACACAGCGGCUUGGCCUCUCGUUCCUCUCAGAGCUGCCGGGGCCGGGGCACCUGGUGACAGCGCCUGUGGGCCUCGCACUGCCUGGCAGGCACCUGUGCCUUUCGAUGUUUUCUGUCUGGGGAGGAGCAGGGCGGGGCCUCUUUUCUAGGUCUUGGUCGCUGUCACGGACCCUGUGCUGGCGGUGGGUGGAGGCCAGCAGCCACACACCAGCCUCCCCAUCGGCCUCUUGGGCUUCCUGGCCUCCUUCACCUCUUGCCGAGGGGCCUUUGCACCUGCAGAGCCCGCGGUCACCAGGAGGCCCUCAGAUGCCAGCUGGGCCGUCCUCAUCCCUCACAGCCCCCACCCUGGCGUUCUGCAGCACGGAGCCAUGAAUCGCUGCUGGGUGCAGUGGCUGAGGCCUGUCGUCCUGACACUCUGGGAGGCUGAGGCAGGAGGACUGCAAGUUCUAGCUCAGCCUGGCCAGCUUAGUCAGACCCUGUCUCACACAAGUAAAGAUCUGCGGGUGCAGCUCCGCUCAAAGGCCUGGGUUCCAUCCUCAGCAGUGCAGUAAGAAAGGAGCCGCUGCCUUCACGGACAGCACCCUUCCCUCCCUCCCUCCACGCCCAAGGCCCCAUCCCUCCAGCCUUGUCCCUGUCCCCCGCCUGCAAGGUCAGAGUGCUGGGCAGCGUCCCCGCCCAGGGGUCCUGGCCACCCAUUCCCACCUGCCCUGAGGGACACUUGGGGCUUAGGGACAGGCCAGCCAGCACCUGAGGGUGCAGAGGCGGGGACAGGAGGUGGGUGUCGCUGUGUCUCCCGGCCCGGUCUCUGCAUGCGGGUCUCAAUCUCACCUCCACCCGUGCCCCACGCCCCACAGCAACUGCUCUCCCCAGCUCCGAGCGUGACUGUCUGGGUGCAGAGGACACUCACGGGGCUGUGCAGCCCUCCCGCCAUGGGGCGCUGGGGUUUGAUGCUGCCCAACGGCAGCCGCAUCACUAUGGAGCAAGAUACUGGGAGGCCCUCCCCCACCGGUCCCUUACCUACUUCCUGUGUGUGUCUGGACCCCUAGCAGCCUCCAGGCCCCAGAGAGGGAGGUGGGCCCUCUGCUGGAGGACCCCCAAAGUCCUGUGCAAAGGCCCUGUGGCCAGAGUGGAGCUUGCCAGGGCUGAGAAGGCCAGCAUGCCCCUGUGGUGCUGCCCACCCUGCCAGGCAUCGGGGCCUCCCAUUGGCUAUCCUCAGUGGGUGCUGGAUGAUUGACAGCCCCAGCCAGGCCAGGCGGGACUCACGCCUGCAGUGACCAGUGCUGCACGGGGCCUGGCUGCCCCUUCCCUGCACGUCACUCACGGGUGACCUAACAGGGCCUUGGAGACUUCUGAGGGUGACUUUGUUUUUCUCUCUCCAGCAGGAAGGCUGUGGGUGACCUCACAGGGCAGACAGCGGCUUAGACCAAGCAGCGAUGGGAGUGACCGGCCACCAGGGCCGUGGGAGCCGGCUGAGGGCUCAGUGACCACCUGGCAUGCAGGGCCACGUUAGCUGCUGCUGCUGGCUCCACUGUGGCCCUUUGGCUUGAGCAGUUAUGUAUCUACCAGAGUGGGCGGCAGAGGAAAAAUGAAAUCGCAUGCUCACAGCGCUGUGCAACCUCACACCAGCUGCUCAGCCUCUCUGGGCCUCGGAGGGGGGAGCCACGGUCCAUGUGUCCCUUGGCUUGCGGACAGUCCCUCCAUGUCCGCCUCCAACGCAACAAUGGUCACGUGGCAUCCUCUCCAGUGCAUCUCUGCCAACAUUUCCCUCUUCUCUCUGGGAGGCUGAGGCAGGAGGAUGGAAGCCCCCGCCCAAGAGUGGAGCCCACAUCUAAGCAGGCAGACUGAGGAGCAGAGAAAGAGCCCGUUCCUGCUGAUUGUGAGUGCCUGGAUCCAGCUGUUCCUGAAGCUGCAUAUCCCCGACCUGCUCAGCCCGGGACCCUGGAAUGACCCAUUCCCCGGGCAGGCCCCUCACGCCUCAGCCUCGCCUCCUGUCUUCUCUCCACGCCGUUCCCAGUCAGCCGCGCUGGCCCAGCCGGAGAUACAUCCUAAUGUAUACUUAACAGAGGCUCAAAAUCGAAUUAAUUUAGAUUGGUUAAUAAACUGUA